AUUGAACGCUGGCGGCAUGCUUUACACAUGCAAGUCGAACGGUAACAGGUUAAGCUGACGAGUGGCGAACGGGUGAGUAAUGCAUCGGGACGUGCCCGGUCGUGGGGGAUAACGCAGCGAAAGCUGCGCUAAUACCGCAUACGAUCUGAGGAUGAAAGCGGGGGACCGUAAGGCCUCGCGCGAUCGGAGCGGCCGAUGUCAGAUUAGGUAGUUGGUGGGGUAAAGGCUCACCAAGCCAACGAUCUGUAGCUGGUCUGAGAGGACGACCAGCCACACUGGGACUGAGACACGGCCCAGACUCCUACGGGAGGCAGCAGUGGGGAAUUUUGGACAAUGGGCGAAAGACUGAUCCAGCAAUGCCGCGUGCAGGAAGAAGGCCGUCGGGUUGUAAACUGCUUUUGUACGGAGCGAAAAGGUCUCCUCUAAUACAGGGGGCUCAUGACGGUACCGUAAGAAUAAGCACCGGCUAACUACGUGCCAGCCGCCGCAGUAA
rnacentral:rRNA from 1 species